rnacentral:rRNA from 1 species
UACGGGGGGAGCAAGCGUUGUUCGGUUUACUGGGCGUAAAGGGCUCGUAGGUGGCCAACUAAGUCAGACGUGAAAUCCCUCGGCUUAACCGGGGAACUGCGUCUGAUACUGGAUGGCUUGAGUUCGGGAGAGGGAUGCGGAAUUCCAGGUGUAGCGGUGAAAUGCGUAGAUAUCUGGAGGAACACCGGUGGCGAAGGCGGCAUCCUGGACCGACACUGACACUGAGGAGCGAAAGCCAGGGGAGCAAACGGG